CGCACAGCCCCACUAGCAGCUGAACACACGAAGGCAGCACAACAAACUUGGAAUCUUAAAGAUUGACAACCAGUCUUUGUGAGGAAUGUUGCAAGCUGUGGCUCGGGUGGUAGAGCAGGUCAUUUACUAAACAGAAGGGCCGCGGAUUGAUCCUGGACGCAUUCAUCGGAGUGUGUGAUUGGAUGAAUGAGACUUGUUGUAGAAAGUGCAUUGAGUCCUUAAAAUUGGUAGAAAGAAGAGGACAUCUUAAGCACAUUAGCGUAUCCACCCUCCAUUUCACCAGAAAGCAGAAAUGU